ACGAACGCUGGCGGCGUGCUUAACACAUGCAAGUCGAACGGAAAGGCCCUGCUUUUGUGGGGUGCUCGAGUGGCGAACGGGUGAGUAACACGUGAGUAACCUGCCCUUGACUUUGGGAUAACUUCAGGAAACUGGGGCUAAUACCGGAUAGGAGCUCCUGCUGCAUGGUGGGGGUUGGAAAGUUUCGGCGGUUGGGGAUGGACUCGCGGCUUAUCAGCUUGUUGGUGGGGUAGUGGCUUACCAAGGCGUUGACGGGUAGCCGGCCUGAGAGGGUGACCGGCCACAUUGGGACUGAGAUACGGCCCAGACUCCUACGGGAGGCAGCAGUGGGGAAUAUUGCACAAUGGGCGGAAGCCUGAUGCAGCAACGCCGCGUGCGGGAUGACGGCCUUCGGGUUGUAAACCGCUUUCGCCUGUGACGAAGCGUGAGUGACGGUAAUGGGUAAAGAAGCACCGGCUAACUACGUG
rnacentral:rRNA from 1 species